UACGUAGGGUCCGAGCGUUGUCCGGAAUUAUUGGGCGUAAAGGGCUCGUAGGCGGUUUGUCGCGUCGGGAGUGAAAACACGGGGCUUAACCCCGUGCCUGCUUCCGAUACGGGCAGACUAGAGGUAUGCAGGGGAGAACGGAAUUCCUGGUGUAGCGGUGAAAUGCGCAGAUAUCAGGAGGACCACCGGUGGCGAAGGCGGUUCUCUGGGCAUUACCUGACGCUGAGGAGCGAAAGUGUGGGAAGCGAACAGG
rnacentral:rRNA from 1 species